ACCCUUUUGUAUCAGUGCUGAGAUUUUCGUCAGUAACCAAUCUAUUAGAACUGAUGUGACUUCCCAAAUAAGUGAAGUU
rnacentral:pre_miRNA from 1 species